AGGGUUUGAUUCUGGCUCAGGACGAACGCUGGCGGCGCGCCUAACACAUGCAAGUCGAACGAGAGAUGAGGAGCUUGCUCUUCAAAUCGAGUGGCGAACGGGUGAGUAACGCGUGAGGAACCUGCCUCAAAGAGGGGGACAACAGUUGGAAACGACUGCUAAUACCGCAUAAGCCCACGGCUCGGCAUCGAGCAGAGGGAAAAGGAGUGAUCCGCUUUGAGAUGGCCUCGCGUCCGAUUAGCUAGUUGGUGAGGUAACGGCCCACCAAGGCAACGAUCGGUAGCCGGACUGAGAGGUUGAACGGCCACAUUGGGACUGAGACACGGCCCAG
rnacentral:rRNA from 1 species